GCACUGGGGCGGUGGUGGCUAUGAGGAUUUGGUCAGUCCCCUGUUCCAGGGAGUCAGGUGUUCUUGUGAAGGGCAAAACCCAUAUCUUUCUAAUGGUAUGCAACAAAUUUUUGACUACACAGUUCUUAAACCAGUGAAAAGGUGCCUUAACUGAUAAUAAUCAAAAAGCCCUACUAGCCUUAUUCAUGCCUGACUUGAGCUCUUCAUAGUUAUGUUGGCUUUUUGCAUUAAGGUGUGAUCUAUAAUGUUUUGGAGCUGUCCCAUACUGGCUAUUUAAUUAGUUUGCCUGGUGUCUAUUUAAAAUCUUUCUGCAUCUUGAAAAGUAAUCUAAUUUCCCAAAUACCAGAAAGAUAAUCAUAUUCUGUACAAAAUUUGACAUGAUUUUUAAUAUUGUACUUGUCUAUGGCAUAGUCAUUUUUCUAUUGCAGUAGUGGUAAUAAACUCAUCAGUGCUUAAAGAAUUUCUGGAGAUCUGUCUUCAGCAAUGAGCUGUUUUUCUUGAACUGUACAGCUUAAGCACUUAUUAUACAGUGCAGGAUUAAUGAAAACUAUGUGUGCUUCAGUGUAUGUCUGUGUGGUAAUGCUAAAUACAGAAACACCAUCACAGAACUCAAAAGAAGGAUGCAGUUUUCCUCUUCUUGUUAUGGCCAGAUUUUUCAGGGGCUUUUUGUCAGUGUAAAGAGAAGUGAAUGGUACUAAAAAUAUUUGAAAGUAUGUGGAAACUUUACUGCAAAUAUUUAGUGGGUUUCAAGAUGCAGGUGUUGAAGUUGACUGUUAUGAAUGUCUGGAAUGUUACUGAUAGUAAAUCUGUAGCUGCAAGCUUUAUGGAAACUAUUUUAUUCUUAGUUGACAGAUUUAAAUUGAGGAGGAGGGGUGAGGUGAUGUCAUAAUCCUUAGCUUCUGACACUGUUUUUCAUAUUGAAUACAAGAGGUAGUUUUUUCAAAUGAAUUCUAGGGGAUAUAUUCAUCUCUUCUGUGCUUAGGCCUAUUGAGCAUUUCCUCACUUGUAAAAUCUCUUUGUACUCACUUGUACAAUUUCAUAUCUCUGAGCUAUUUGCUGCUGUUUUUUUCAGGUAAUGACCUUUAAUUAUUCCUUUGUCUAUUUGCUUCUGCGCUGAUGUGGAACUGUCAGCUUGGAGCCCUAUACAUUGCCUGCAGUUCAGCACAUCAUCGACAUUUCUAUAGAAACUGUUGAAAUUGUGUGAUUCUGCACACUUCACUUACGUGCUUGGCAGCAGUCCCAUCAUGGGUAUAGCUGUUGUUUUUCCUCUCUACUGAAUGUUCCAGCUCUUGCAGUGUCAGUUCCUUCACCAGCCAUCUGUCUUGCUGGCUCACUCACUAUCUUAACAGCUCUCCUUCUCAGACUAGAUAUAAGUCCUAGUGAGUAUGCCAUCAGCUGUUAAUUUUUUAUUCAGAAGCUUUUAAAACAAUUGUUGCUGCACCCAAAUAUUCUGUAUUUCAAUCCUCUCUAUCCCAUCCUUGUCUCUUAAUGGUUGCUUUCUUCUGCAUCCUCCUUCUUACAGGUUUCUUUGCAAAUUGUUUGUCUAUCACUUAAUUUCUUUUCCUGAAAGUUUUAGGGUAAUUUUCUUCAAUUUGUUAACUUGUCCCUGAAUUCUAUCUGGGGAUUACAUGUGUGAAUGCAAGGAAGGCCUAAUCCAGUUCUCUUUCAUGUGGCACAGUUACUCUACAAUCACUGAAAGAAGCAUCUAAGUACUUUCAGAUAUUACAGGAGUCAAGUAAUAGCUCCUGAGAAGCGUAAGAUUGUUACCUUUUUUGUCAAUAAGUUAGAUAAUAACUUCUUUGUGGUGGUAUCAGUGUUACAGAUAGGAUAGAUUGUCUUGUAGCUCAGGGGCUGGCAUACUGCUAAACAAUCUAGCAAUCUUUGUGAUGAAAAGUUCUAUUUGCUUGUAAGUCAGUCAGGCCUGGAUGCAAAAUUGCUUUAUGAAGCCCUGAGAGUAUAGUAUUUCUUAUUAUAGUAGCAGUUUGGUUUAUUUUCGUACACUAUACUCACUUUAUAAUCUUCCAAUAGCUAAGAUUCAGUUAGAUAGUGUUGAAAGCUUUAUAAACAACUACUUGGGUUUUGUGCAAUUUUCAGUUGUAGAAAUGAACCACACAGAUAAUAACUUCACCAGAGACAUACCAGCCUUUCUUCUUUUUUAAUGUGUAUUGAUAAUCCUUUCUCAGACCUUCUGUUCCUUUCCUGGACAAAUUCAAAUAUUGUUUAUUGCUAGUGCAAAUUAGUCAGCGAAGCAUCUGCAGUUGGUAGCUGUCCACAAUGAAGAAGCCCCAGAAGAUUAAAACUCCCAGUCGAUUUGCAGGCAAAUCAACUCCCUAAUUGUAGAAUGUGACUUCAGUAGGAAGGUGAUUGUCUCCAAAACCCUAUUAAGUGAGUGAAGCUACAGAUGUCUUAGACUAAGAAGAGCAAGUAUCCAGAUUCAAGAAAGCUGAAGAGGAAACUGGGUCAUCAAUAGAGUUCAGCUUCAAGCUCAAUGAAGGACUCCUAGAGGAAAAGCUAUAAAUCUUUGAUCUCUCAUCUCUAUGGCAGUGCUGAUUUCACAGAAGUAACUGUGAUGAAGGAGUCGGGAACUGAGUAUUUUUUCUUCUAGUCUGUGAUACUUGAAGUGUUUCAGGGCACACUUAUAAUUCUGAUGUAUUUUCACUUGUCAUUUCUCACUGAGACAGAAUCUCUCAUUAUUUUCAAUGACAGUACUGCUUAGCAAUACAGGAAGCAUGGAGUAGCCUGUACAGAAAGCUACAGCCCCUCAACAGAUAUCUGCUUACUUUCCUUAGAUACUAUCUCUUCCCAGAAAGGCUUAAACUCUGUUUUUUCUCCAGCCAGUUAUUCCUUAGAAAAGAAAGAAAACAAAGUUUCACAGCUUCUUGGUAAUGAAUUUUCCUGCUAUCCUCUUUGCAAUGCAAUUACCUGAAAGAAAUCUAUGGAAUUUUACCCCUUUUCCCAACAUGGCUGUACCAAUAUUUGGAGUAAGUGAAAGGAAUAAAAUGACUGCUUAACUCUUCUUUUGGCAGAGAAAAUGUUGAAGCAAGACAUCCUGCUUAAAAGUGAAAAGCUUCUAUUUCAAGCACAAUAUAGAAGAGCUAAAAAAUCACCAAAACCCUGUGCUAAAGCAAAACUGUUAAUCACUCUUAACUCUUUUAGAAAUAGUCAAGAGGGAGAGAUUAUCUCUCUUCUGCUUGAGUCAGUUUUAAAAUAUAUUAAAAUUUGUGUACUUUUGAGUGGCAGAUGUGGCUUGUCACUUUAAAGGGUAUUUUUGCUAUUGUUAACACUGAAAUAGAUUGUACUUGAGGAACAGUAGUUAAUAGAAGUCUUAAGGAUCUCAGAGAAAAUACUUGUCUUGCAUUUAUUAUCUCAGCUUUCAGAUUUAAGCAGCUGUAUAUGGUUAAACUUUGAAAUUAUGUAACAGUAAUAGAAUGCUAUUCAAGUUGAUGCCUUUUAGAAGACAAGGGAGUGGGGGUGUGAUUGUACAGUAAACCCACGUUAAACUCUUUCCUUUACUGUACUUCUUGAGACAGCAAUCAGCUACCUAGAACCGAGCCCAGAACGUGCUCUCUGCAGUUUGCUCUGAAAUCAUAGUGCAUCUUGUAGGGUUUUUUCCAUAAGACACUGAUGUAAGUCUAAGCAUUGAUGUAAUUCAUAUUUAAAUCAGAAUUUCUGAUAGCCUAUGUUGUUUAAUUGUAACCUGUUCCCUGGUAACAUAUUUCUAGAGUAAACAUCUUAUUAUCUGAAGAAUAUGCAUUUUUAAUUAUCUCAAAACUGAACUGAAUUGUUACAUCUUGUUUUUAUUCUGUAGUUGAGCUGUGUCAUAGGUCACACACUAUUUUCCAAAGUGCAAGUUUCAACAGAUGUUGUGUGAAUGUUAACAAAGGGCACCUUUAAAAAUCAUCUCACAUACUUUUUAGGAUGCCAGUUUAAUGCUUUUCUGCUUGGUAUAAGUGAUGCUGAAGUUAUAAUGCACUUCCAAAGCAACAUAGCAAACCAUAUCACCAGAGCAACUCUUUACUGCAAAUGCAGCAAGAAUAAUCCUUUUAUGCUGGCAUAAAGCUAAGGGGACAGGCAGAGGAUAAACUUCUUGUGAGUAGAAUAUUGGUUGUGUAUGGGUUACUCUUCUUUUAUAAUUUCUGAGACAUCUUGGUUCCAAGUUUAAAGAAGAUUGUAUAACCAUCUUAAAUGGAACUUUAAUGGAAAUUCUGUUUGUUUCAGAAAUUU